CCGGCCGCUGACGCGCGGGAGGGCGGGCACGAGGCGACGGCCGCGGCCGUUGGGCGCCUUCGGUGGGGCGGGUUCCGUGAGGGGAGCGUCCCGCGGGGCAGGGCGCCGGCUGACAGCGGCGACGUUGGCCGCGUCCCGGAGCCUGCAGGUGGUUGCAUCCCGCUGGCGAGCGCGCUGCUCACGCUGGGAGGUGUGCGUCCGCUUACUGUGUCCGUUUGCUGUAGCAAUUAAGUGCUGAGCGAGCGAUCCUCCGCCCUCCUCUCAGCCUGUCGCUGUGUUACUCCGACCCACGGCCCCCUGCCCUGCCUCCCGGAGAGGAAACACCUCUUGCAACACGCAGUCGGCUUAAUCAUCUCCGGUUAUCCCGCUGCAUUAUGUACGGGUCCGAAUUAACCGGCUUCCAAACUUGAGGAAAUUCCUGAUGCAAAAGACAUAGCGCUUAUUUCAGCGCUAGUAAUCAGAUCCAGAUUUGAAAGUCAGCACUGCAUGGUUGAAGUUUUGGAUGCAGUCAUUAUUCCAGCAGUGUCCAGCCCAAGCUGCUGAGUUAAACAAAGACAGGAGGGAAGAUGGGAUGGAAGCUGAAAUUUCAAGUGAAGUUGAGGUCAGAGUUUUGAGGAGAUGGAGAGAUUUUGAAUUUCUUCCGUGUAGAUGAACUCACAGCAUUCCUGCGAUCUCGCAUUUGAGGGACCUGCGCUUGACUUUCAACAGCCAAACGAAAAUUUGGAUUACUAGAAAACACGCACAACUCAAGAAACCAGUAGCACGUGGAUUACUGCUCGAAACCCGGUCCCUUGGCAGUCCUUGGCCAGGCAGCCAAGGCCUGGAGUCCCCACCAGCAGCUGGCAGUGCCCUCUGUAGUUAAGAGCAGGCUGUGCUCUGAGCAGUGGCAUAUGAGUGCAACGCUGUGCCUUCCCCAUGCACCCCUCCUCCACACAAGAUGCACAUUCCACAAAGUUUGGUGUUUCAAAGACCAGCAAGGUUUUUUUAUGAUAAAAGCUUGAGCCCAAUAAAAGGCACAUAUUAUGUGCUUCAGCUUUACUGCCCAUUUACAUUCUAGGCUGUAACAGCGUGUGCUAAGGACUAUAGUACUUUCCUGCUCCCAGCUGGUGGCAUGCCCCAUUCCCACACCAAAACGUCACCCACCAGCGUGCCAUCUCCCUGAACUCUUUGGUUUCUACAGCAAGGAAACUCAAACACUCAGCCAGCACAGAAGACAGCCAGAUAUGCUCCCACGUCCUCCACUUACAGGAUCAGAGCAUGUAAAGAUUUUAUCAGCUGUUUGCUUGGAGCCUUGAAGCAUUUGCCAUAACCUAGAGCACUUGCCUGCUUGUCAAACGAAUUCACACAGGCACCUAAGAAGUCUCUUGCAAACAGCGCUGAAGGAGGAGAGAGACUACAGGUGCUGCAGAAGUAAAUCUCCUGGGAUAAGUCAUUUAACACCUGUGUAGUAUAAAAAUUUGGUCCGUAAGAGAAAAGCACUUACAGCACCUCAAAUGUUUUUUUGUUGGUGGUGCAUUGCUCAGUGCUGAGCGCAAUUCAGCUUUUUAUUUUGGGAGCAUGUUUUCCUCAUUCUUGAGAGAUCAUAACGUAAACAGAUUUGCUACUGCCCCACUAGCUUUCACCUACAGAACUUGGUGUCCUUGUUUAUUUUUAAAUAAUGGUUUGACCCUUAACAAAUAGGCUCUUGCACUUUUCACCAUCUUCUUAAAGAUCAGAUGUUGAAGCACAUAGCAUAAAGAGUAGGAACGUAAGCCUCACAGACGUACCUGGUUUCUUCUGUUCUUCAGAAAUUGCUGGCACUGCUCAUUAAAAACCAGGCAAUAUAUUAGCCUUUGAUAAAACAACUGGCUGAUACUGACCUAAGAUAAAAAUGAUGCCACAAAAUAUUCGGGCACGAUGGACUAUUCAUACAACAGGAGGUCGCAGGACCUAGCCCAGAACCUAAAAUUAGGCAAAUUGACACCGCUGUUAGAGGCUUCAGGCUAGCCACGGCAGCAUGUCCCCCAAAUCCUCAAAGAGAUCAAGCAGUCUUCCAUGGGGGAGUGGAAUUUGCAUUCAAAUCGUUCCCUCACAAUGGAUAUUCAUUAUAAGGCUUUACUUUCUAGAUCUUUUCUCUCCUAUAGAGGAGGAUGACUGCUUAGGACCCUCACCCUUCAAGGGGAGCAUUCUUCACGAUUUUAAUCUCCAUAUUGUGAUGUAAUGCCACAGUUCCACACUACACUUGGACAUAUUUUUAAGGAGAUGUGGCUUACUCUUAGUUCGAAGACAUGUGACCUCAAAUCAUAUGUGAAAGCCUCAUUUAAUAGUAGAUAUAUAAUCUGUGCUGUGACAGCAACUCACUGACUACUUCUUUUCUGUUCCUGGAAUGAAGAAGAACAAUGUUGGUCAGAGUCUGGAAGCUUUGCAUAUUCAUACUUCUCACAGUUGUUAAAUGUUUGAAAAUUCAGGUAAUGAGCAGACAAUACUCCUGCUGCCUUUGUACUGCUUUGGGGUUUGCCAUUCUCGUAAUAUCUCUACAGAAACCAUUCUAUCAAGUCAGGGUUUUUUUUUCCUCUCAAAUUGAAUUAACACUUGUACAUUGAAGUUUUCAACAUCACCCAUAAGAUUUUUCGACUUGUCAAAAGAAUCUGCAUGGUCUCUAACCAUGAAUAAAUAUGAUUUCAGAUAUCAUCUUUAUUUCAAGUUUUAUUUCUUGGGAUUAAUUUAAUUGAUUGUGCUGAUGGCUUGUUAAGCAGCUGCUGAAAUAAGCAGAGCUUUCUGUUUACUUACUUACUUUCUGUGUAAACAUAUGGGUACCUGAUUUAAUUAUAGUUCAUGCUAGUGCUGGGAGGGGGAAAAAAACACAAAACAGAAAAGGACACCUUCUGUUUUCCAGAGUGACAUCAUAGAUCUGUAAGGAUUUUCUCAUAACAACAAUUUUUUCUCCUUUUCCUCUAGCUGAUUUUAAUAAUUCUUUUAUCAUAUCCUCAU